GCAACCAAUUAAGAACAACUAGGGAUUUAAUGGAAGAGACCGCUGGAGGACUCUUACGAUUGAAGCAAGGUAAAACUCUAAGAAUUUUAAAUACACCUUUAAUUCAUCGACGGAGAGAUAAUUAAGGGUAGAAAUUCAGCUAAGAAUGUUCUCUGACUGGAUAAAAUUACUUCGUAAGCGAUUUCUUUAUCCUUGCUAUCGAAUUCAGAUAUUGGAAUAAUUGAGGGAUGCAAUCGACUUGUGCUUAGCGGAUUGAGGAGCCCAUAACUAAGCUCUCCUAUUCUCUAUUGGAUUAAUUAUUUUAAGUAAAAUCUAAGUUAAAAUUUAUUCAUUAUUUUAGGAAAACAUAGAAGCAAAAAAAAUUCCCCCAUUUUACUAUCUUGCAUGCGUUUACAUUAUCUUAAUUUCGAUUUUUUCUUCUUUCCAAAUAGGUUUAACGCGAGCUUCUUCGUGGGACGAUUCCCUAUUUACCCUAUAUUACCAGUUAAUAUUGGUUGGAUAACGGAUUUAAUCUGGUAGUCAUAACAAUAGCUACCAAAUUUUGGCGUCGUUGCCGGGGAAGCGACGUAGCCAAAUCUAUUUGAUUUUCAAAACUUACUUUGUUUGCUUGUUUUUGUCUUUGCAGGUAGAUUAGUCUAUUUAGUAUAUGUUAUUAAGGAGCGGACGACGAACAUCGAAGUUCCCUGUUAACAUUACCGAUCAACAAGUCGAAUCUCACAAUCUCCACGAGCCUAACGAUUUCGAGGACAUCGACAUGGCCAACCAGACCUUGAAGCAAUUGGCCGCACCUAACUUGGCUGCACAACCACCAUCUAUCACUUAUCCUGCCCUUGAUAGGCCAUUAAAGCUUAAUUCGGGAUUCCUGAACUUGUUGCCGAAAUUCAAUGGACUACCAGGUGAGGACCCUUACCGUCAUAUUAAUGAAUUUAUAAUAACUUGUUCAACUAUGCAGCCAGAUGGCAUUGAAGAGGAACAAAUCAAGCUCCGAGCUUUUCCUUUCUCGUUACAAGGUUUGGCGAAGGACUGGUUAUAUUAUAUGCCGCCAAAUUCAUUUACGACGUGGACAGGGUUGCACAAAGCUUUUCUUGAGAAGUUCUUUCCGGCAUCGAGAAUAGGGUCAAUCAGGAAGGAAAUUUGUGGAAUUAAGCAACUGGUAGGUGAGUCAUUAUACGAGUACUGGGAAAGAUUUAAACGGAUAUGUGCGAGUUGUCCACAGCAUCAGAUUAGUGAAUAGCUUUUAGUACAAUAUUUUUAUGAGGGGUUGAUGCCACAAGAUCGAGGAAUGAUUGAUGCAGCGAGUGGAGGUGCAUUGGUUGAUAAAACUCCAGAGCAAGCCCAAAAUUUGAUUGCUAAUAUGGCGCAGAAUACACAGUAAUUCGGUCUCAGGAGGUCCGAUUUGGGUAAACGAAUGGAUGAGGGCCAGUCGAGUAUGAUGGAGGCUCAGUUAGCUAAUUUAACGGCUAUGGUAAGUAAAUUGAUGACUGGAGGUAAUACGAAAGCUUCACUAUGUGGCAAUUUGUUGUUUGGAAGGACAUACCACAUAUAUGUGUCCGACAUUAUAGGAAGGGGAAGCUAACGCCGUCUUUCCAAAUCAGAGAAGGUAUGAUCCAUACUCAGCUACCUAUAAUGAAGGAUGGAGAGACCAUCCCAAUCUCAGAUAUCAAAACCAAGCCACACCUCCAGGAUUCGAGCAGCAAAAUUCACGACAAUAUAAUACGUCACAGCAACAACCCAACCAUCAAAAUCUUAGUGCUGAAACUAAGACUCAUACCAUGCUUGAACAAAUGAUGAAGAUGAUGGUUGACCAGAAGAAGGAAACCGAUGGAAGAUUUCAGUCUUUAGAAUCGGCAGUGAAGCAGUUGCAAACCAGAGCCUCGUCGACUGACGUUAAUCUUGGGAACUUGCAAGCACAGGUAAAUAACUGGUUACCAUCACAGCCCGUGGCAAAUCCGAGGGAUAAUGUCAGUGCUAUAACUUUGCGAAGUGGGAAGGAGUUGAGAUCAAUACUAAAGAAAGUCCAAAACAGCGAUGAGGAAAACGACACUGAGGUAAAAAAGUUUGAUUUAGUGAUAGAGCAGAGGAAAAUUUAGCCUUGCCAAAGGCUGAUUUACAACCAUCGCAAGUAGCUCCAAAGGAAGCAAGGAUAUCACGUUUACAACAGCCCACUACUUCGCGCGAUACAACAAAUUUUAAACAGGAAACAAGGGUUCCCAAACUUCGAGCUCAAGCAAGUCAAGAUGCUAAUAACCAGCCUCGGUCUUAUGUGCCGAAGGCGCCAUUUCCACAGCGUUUGAGGAAGGAAAAAUCAGACGACGUCAAUGCCGAAAUCCUUGAGACGUUUCGUAAGGUACAAGUUAACAUUCCAUUGAUUGAUGCAAUUAAACAAGUGCCUAGAUAUGCUAAGUUUUUAAAAGAAUUAUGCACGUCUAAAAGGAAAUUAAUUGGAAAUGAGAAGAUUAGCUUAGGCGAAAAUGUAUCUGCGGUAUUUCAAAAGAAACUUCCUAUUAAAUGUAAAGAUCCUGGAAUGUUUUCGAUACCUUGUAAGAUAGGAGACCUUAAACUUGAUAGAGCUAUGCUUGAUUUAGGGGCUUCUAUAAAUGUCAUGCCUAAAAGUAUCUACGAUAAAGUUCAAUUAGGUGCAUUAAAAGACACAGGACUGAUAAUUCAGCUUGCGAAUAGAAGUAAUGCCUACCCUGAUGGUGUUUUAGAAGAUGUUCUCGUGCAAGUAAAUGAGUUAGUCUUUCCGACUAAUUUUUAUGUUUUAGACAUGGGACCUAAUGCUAAUUCGAUUGAUGUACCCUUACUUUUAGGUAGAGCCUUUCUUAAGACAGCUAGAACGAAAAUUGAUGUGCAUAAAGGGAAUUUAACAAUGGAAUUUGAUGGUGAGAUAAUUAAAUUUAAUAUAUUUGAUGCUAUGAGAUAUCCCACUGAUAUUAAUUCCGUAUUUACUCUUGAUGUAAUUGAUAAUUUUGUUCAAGAUGUUUAUGAAUUAGGGGAUGAAGACGAGUUGAAAAGCAUUCUAGCUAAAGAUAUUUUUGAUAUCAAUGAUCAUGAAUUUAUCGUUUCUGAUUCUUUAAUUGACUCAAUUUGUACUUUAGACUCGCCCAAAUUGACACGAUUCAAGCCGAUUCUCCCUAAUCUUAUGGUGACUGGUAAGCAAGUCCCUUCAUUGAUUUCGCCACCUAAAUUAGAGUUAAAAGAGCUGCCCAAAAAUUUAAAGUACAUUUAUUUAGGGGAAAAUCAAACUUUACCAUUGAUAGUGUCGAAUGCCUUGACUAAAUCCCAAGAAUCUAAGCUGCUUAGAGUUCUUAGGGAGCAUAAAGAAGCCUUCGGUUGGACACUAGCUGACAUUAAGGGACUUAGUACGACUUUGUGUACCCACAAGAUUCAGUCCCCAAAAGAGACCCCCAACGCUGAUUGAAUCCACCAAUGAUGGAGGUAGUUAAGACUGAAAUUUUAAAAUGGUUGGAAGCCGAUGUCAUUUAUCCUAUAGUUGAUUCAAAGUGCGUAAGUCCAAUUCAUGUUGUACCUAAGAAGGGAGGAACUACAAUAGAUACCAACAAGGAGGGGUUAGAGAUUCCUACGAGAGUGCAGAAUGGUUGGCGGGUUUGUAUAGACUAUAGGAAACUGAACAAAGCCACUAAAAAAGACCACUACCCCCUUCCAUUCAUGGAUCAAAUGUUAGAAAGGUUAGUUGGUCGCUCACAUUUUUGUUUUUAGAUGGCUAUUCAGGUUAUUUGUAGGUACCUAUUGCACCUGAGGAUCAAGAGAAGACCACCUUCACUUGCCCGUUUGGAACUUACACCUUCAAGAGAAUGCCUUUCGGAUUGUGCAACGCACCAGCUACUUUUCAAAGAGGUAUAACGAGCAUAUUUUCAGAUUUUAUUUCACAUUUAAUGGAGGUGUUCAUGGAUGAUUUUACGGUUUAUGGUGAUUCAUUUGAUCAAUGUUUGCAUCAUCUUGUGUUAGUUCUUAGGCGUUGUAUUAAGACUAACCUGAUAUUGAAUUUUGAGAAAUGUCAUCUCAUGGUUGAAAAGGGCGUAGUAUUGGGGCAUGUCGUCUCAGCUAAAGGUUUAGAAAUAGACCAAGCCAAAGUCAAGGUAAUUAAAAAUCUACCUUAUCCAGGUACUGUGAAAGGAAUUCGAUCCUUCUUGGGUCAUGUAGGUUUUUACCGUCGGUUCAUCAAGAAUUUUUGCAGAUAUCGUCACCUUUAUGUGCAUUUCUUGGUAAGGAUGUCGCAUUUAAAUUUAGUGAGAAUUGCAAAAAAUCUUUUGAUGAAUUGAAAUUGAAAUUGAUCACGGCUCCUAUCAUUCAAGGACCGAAUUAUGCAUUACCUUUUGAGAUUCUAUGUGAUGCUAGUGAUAAGGCUGUUGGUGCGGCUUUAGGACAAAGAAAUGGUAAGGAGUCUUAUAUUAUCAGGUAUGCUAGCGAGCUAUUGAACCCAGCUCAAUGCCAUUAUACCACGACCGAGAAAGAACUCUAUGCCAUAGUUUUUACCUUAGAAAAUUUUAGAGCAUACUUGUUAGGAGUCAAAGUUGUUGUAUUUUCUGACCAUGGUCCUCUUAAAUAUUUGUUGCAUAAAAAAGAAGCUAAGCCCCAAUUAAUAAGAUAGAUUUUGCUUUUGCAGGAAUUUGACUUGGAAAUUAAAGAUAAGAAAGGUAAGGAGAACCUUGUGGCCGAUCAUUUGAGUAGGAUAGAGACUAGAAUUUUGAGGGAUGAGCCGAGUGAUUUAUUUCCCGAUGAGCGACUUUAUAGUGUGUCUAGUGUUUUGCCAUGGUAUGCCGACAUAGUGAACUACUUAGUGACUAAAGAGUUCCCUACGAAUGCACCUAGACAUUUAUGAGAAAAAAUUAGAAGUCAAGCCCGAUUUUACUUAUGGGAAGAGCCAUACCUUUGGCGAUUUUGUAGUGAUCAAAUAAUUAGGCGUUGUGUCGAUGAUAGUGAGAUAGAUUCGGUGCUUAAUUUUUGUCAUUCUCGAGAAGGUGGAGGACAUUUUGGGCCUAAGAGAACAGUUCAUAAAAUACUUGAGUGUGGGUUAUUUUGGCCGACUAUUCAUAAAGAUUCAUAUGCAUUUUGUAAAAAUUGUGCAUUACGUCAAAAAACCGGCAAUUUAAGUAGCAAAAAUCAAAUGCCAUUACAUAAUUUUUAUGUUUGUGAUAUAUUUGAUGUAUGGGGUAUUGAUUUUAUGGGGCCUUUUCCUUCUUCUCUCGGUUAUCUAUACAUUCUUGUUUGUGUUGAUUACUUGUCGAAAUGGGUAGAAGCAUUCCCAACUAGGGCUGAUGAUGCUAAAACAGUGGUGAAGUGUCUUAAGACUAACAUCUUAAAUAGAUACGGAGUACCCAGGGCUAUAAUCAGUGACAAGGGAACACAUUUCUGUAAUAGAACCUUGAGAGCCUUAUUUGCACAAUUUGGUGUCACUCACAAAGUAUCGACAGCUUAUCACCCUCAAACCAAUGGGCAAGCCGAGAGUAGUAACAAAGAGAUUAAGGGAAUUUUAGAGAAAAUUGUUAAGCCCAAUAGGAAAGAUUGGAGUCAAAGGUUAGAUGAAGCAUUGUGGGUUGUUCGAACAGCUUACAAAACGCCAAUUUGGAUGUCGCCUUACAGGGUUGUUUUUGGGAAGGCAUGUCAUCUUCCCGUAGAGCUUGAACAUAGGUCAUUUUGGGCUGUUAAGCAAUGCAAUUUGGAUUAUAGUUUGGCAGGUGAAAAGCGUAAGUUGAAGCUGCAAGAAUUGGAGGAGUUGUGCUUGGAGGCAUAUGACAAUUCGGUCAUUUACAAAGGUAAGUCGAAGGCAUUUCGUGACUCCAAGCUGAUUCGCAAGGAAUUUAAGGUGGGGGAAAAGGUACUACUCUUUAAUUCUAAGCUUAAAUUGUUUCCCGGUAAGUUAAAAUCAAGUUGGCUUGGUCCAUUUAUAAUAACCGAAGUGCAUUAUCAUGGGGCAAUCGAAAUUAGGAGUCUCGAAACUAAUAAAAUUUUCAAAGUAAAUGGUCACAGGUUGAAACAUUUUCAUAAAGGAGAGCAAGCAGCUUGGUUGGAGGAGAUCAAUCUUGAGGAUCCAUGAGAAAUUGUGAUGUCGAGCCAACGACUUAAAACGAAGGCGCUUGUGGAAGGCAACCCACGUAUUCAGGGAAGUUUUUUUUUUAUCUUUUCCAUUAUUAUUGUUUCUUUCCAUUAAAUAAUUUUUAAUUUUUAAUUUUCUUUUGCAUUAGGGGCAAUGCAAACAUUAAGUAUGGGGGAGAAUCAAUUCAUUGAUUUUCUAACAUAUUUUAUGUUUGUUUUAAUUUAGCAACUUUCAUAAAUUUUGUUAAAUUUCUUUACAUAUUAAAAUAAAAGAAUGAAGGUGUAUUUUAUGAAUUCAAGAUUGAUUGUGAUUGUUGUAUGUCGAUUGGUUGGGAUUAAUUUUGUUUUCAAUUGACUGAUUUUGGUUUUGAAAAGAAAAAAAACUUGAUUUUGUGGUUUUAAAUUGAAGAGAUUUUUAGUCUGCUUACUUGAUCGAUUAUGUGGUCCUUGUGAGGAAUUUGAGCCUAGAGCGUAAGUUGGGACAUCCAUGCCAACUUAGGAGGUUAUUAUUCAUUCAUGUGUGAUUAUUGUUAUCGACUAUCAAUUACUCUAGAACUUGCUUUAGAUCUUAUUAAGGAUAGUAAUACAUUUGAUUUCCAUUGAUAUGAUUUAAGAGGCCAUAGGAAUUAAGCCACAAUUACUCAUAAAAAACCGACCUUGUCAUUAUUCCACUUAGCUAGCCAAUUUGAAGCCUUAAUUUCUUUAUUUUUUCUUCACCUCCAGAAAUUAAGCCAAAGAUGAAUCAACUCACCUUUUUAGGCUAGUUAAUUCAGUUUGGAAGUUCAUCAUAAUUUCGAUAUAUGUUGGCCAAUUUGGGGGUGAUGUUUAGCUGGAAAUUAAAGGCUGAUUUUCGUGAGAAAGAAGCAGCAAGUUGCAGCCUUCCGAGUGAAUUUAAUGAAUGAAGCGUUAUGUGAUCAUAAGGAAAUGGAUCGGUUGAAUCAAGGGAUAUGGAAACGAUGAAAGGCUGAUUGAUUUAGUUAUCUUCUUGAAUUGUUGAAAAAAGAAAAGAAAAGAGAAAUAAGAGAAUUGAUGACUUCCAGACGAUUAACUAGUCUAAGAAAAUUAGCUCCACCAUCCAAAUUAAUCCCUCCCGUCCUUAAAACAUUACCUUGGCCCCAUUACAACCUUAAUUUGGCCUCAAUUAUAUUUAUGAAAUUUUAUGUAUUAUGUUAAGGUAAGAUGGACAAGCAAGCCUAUGGGGUUAAUUACGGUUUAUUUCAAUUUGAGAGCGUUGUACUAGCCUAAACACAAUGAGUGAAGAGUGUUAAUAAUUUUAUUCUUUUCGGUGAGAAUUGAUCAAAGAAGCAUGAUUAUUUUCCUCUAUAUUUUCCUCUCUUGAAUAAACCAAAAUCUAAAUUGUUGAUUUCAAAAUUCAUCCUAAGCUUGGGCUAUGCAACAACUCUUGAUUAUUCUUGAUAUUUUUAAAAUUCUUCUUGAUUUUCGUCGACUUGAUUGCUCAGGGACGAUCAAUAGUUUAAGUAUAGGGGAGUUUGUUAAGUUCAAUUUUGAGUUUAACUUAUUCAAUUAAAUUAUUUAAAUUGUUGAUUACUUUUUUGGUUAAUUAAGUUAUAAUUCAGCCUAAAUUGAUUAGAGGCAUUCUAUGCCGUAAUAAUUUAAUUGCACUCCAAUUCAACAAUUUAAUUUUAAUUUUAUUUCAUGUGCAGGUUGAUGCCCGUAUAAGCUCAAUUUGGAAGGUAAUUCGCAUAAAUUAAGCUGCCGAAUGACGAUCAUAUGCUGGUUGAAGGAAUUAAAUUAACAUUGGGACAAAAUUCGGUCCAAUAGAAAAGCAGCAGGCCGAAUGAACAAACGGACAGCAAGGGAAUUAUUAUUAUUUCCUUCUUGCUAAGCGGUGGCCGACUCCAAUUGAAUUAAGGAAGCCAAAUCAGGCUUGAGGAGUUUAAUCGAAGUCAAACUCUACUAAGCAGAAGCUAUGCGACGGGUUAGGCUAAGAUUAAGGGGAUAAGAUCAAGUUUUUUUGAAUUAUUGGAGGAUUUAUUUUUCCAUAAAAGGAGGAGAAGAAGCAGCAGACGGGGCAGAGCUUUUUCUAUUAUUUUGCAGGUAUAGUUCGGUCAUUCGCUAGAGGAUUUCUGUGAUCCAACACACGCCAGUCAAUCAGCGGGAAACCAGUUUAGAGAAUCAGCUAAUCGAGAGGAGAAGGGCUCGUCAAUUGAGAGCAGUUUCUUUCAUACGAGAUUGGUUUAACGCGAGCUUCUUCGUGGGACGAUUCCCUAUUUACCCUCUAGUACCAGUUAAUAUUGGUUGGAUAACGGAUUUAAUCUGAAUGUCAACCGAACCAACAUCUAUUGAGGGUAGUGUUACACCUCCUACUUCGAUAGAUUCUAAAAAUUCGGGAGUUGGAGCUUCAAUCCAAACAAAGGGGACUACCGGGAAAAGAAAAGCCCCUCCUCAAAGAGUUUGCAUUUAGCACCGGGGGACGUGUGCUUGAUCAAUAUAGGAGUUCUUUAACUCCUAAAAUUGUACAAGCUCUUGUGUGUGCUCAAGAUUGGAUUCAAAGAUCAUCAUCACAAGAAGACAUAAAAAAGAUUGAAGAACAAAUCCAAGAGCUUGACAAGAUUGAAAAUGACAUUUCUUGGAAAGCAUUAGAGCCUACCCUAGAUUCAUGAGCUUUCGUGAGUUGAAGGGUUUAAUGCAAAUGGAGAUAUUUUGGAGAGAUGAAAUGGAUAUAAAUAGAGAAUAUUAAAACUUACAUGUCAAUUAUGUGUUAAUUCAAGACUUAUGUAAUGUUUUUAAUUAUGUAGUGAUUCAAAGACUUAUGUAAUAUUUUUAAUUAUGUAGUGAUUUAAAGAUUUAUGUAAUGCUUUUAAUUA